rnacentral:rRNA from 1 species
AUUGAACGCUGGCGGCAUGCCUUACACAUGCAAGUCGAACGGCAGCGGGGGAGAAGCUUGCUUUUCCUGCCGGCGAGUGGCGAACGGGUGAGUAAUACAUCGGAACGUGCCCUGUAGUGGGGGAUAACUAGUCGAAAGAUUAGCUACUACCGCAUACGACCUGAGGGUGAAAGUGGGGGACCGCAAGGCCUCAUGCUAUAGGAGCGGCCGAUGUCUGAUUAGCUAGUUGGUGGGGUAAAGGCCUACCAAGGCGACGAUCAGUAGCUGGUCUGAGAGGACGAUCAGCCACACUGGGACUGAGACACGGCCCAGACUCCUACGGGAGGCAGCAGGGGGGAAUUUUGGACAAUGGGCGAAAGCCUGAUCCAGCAAUGCCGCGUGUGUGAAGAAGGCCUUCGGGUUGUAAAGCACUUUUGUCCGGAAAGAAAUGGCUCUGGUUAAUACCUGGGGUCGAUGACGGUACCGGAAGAAUAAGGACCGGCUAACUACGUGCCAGCAGCCGCCGUAA